rnacentral:rRNA from 1 species
CUACGUAGGUGGCAAGCGUUGUCCGGAAUUAUUGGGCGUAAAGCGCGCGCAGGCGGUCCUUUAAGUCUGAUGUGAAAGCCCCCGGCUCAACCGGGGAGGGUCAUUGGAAACUGGGGGACUUGAGUGCAGAAGAGGAGAGUGGAAUUCCACGUGUAGCGGUGAAAUGCGUAGAGAUGUGGAGGAACACCAGUGGCGAAGGCGACUCUCUGGUCUGUAAUUGACGCUGAGGCUCGAAAGCGUGGGGAGCAAACAGGAUUAGAUACCCUGGUAGUCCACGCCGUAAACGAUGAGUGCUAAGUGUUGGAGGGUUUCCGCCCUUCAGUGCUGGAGCUAACGCAUUAAGCACUCCGCCUGGGGAGUACGGCCGCAAGGCUGAA